rnacentral:rRNA from 1 species
UGUCGGGCUAGACGGUCGGAGGGGGCAGCGGAAUUUCCGGAGUAGCGGUGAAAUGCGCAGAUACCGGAAGGAACGCCGAUAGCGAAGGCAGCUGCCUGGACGACUUGUGACGCUGAGGCGCGAAAGCGUGGGGAGCAAACCGGAUUAGAUACCCGGGUAGUCCACGCCCUAAACGAUGAGUGCUGGGUGUCCGGCUCCUGCCGGGUGCCGUAGCUAACGCGUUAAGCACUCCGCCUGGGAAGUACGCACGCAAGUGUGAAACUCAAAGGAAUUGACGGGGGCCCGCACAAGCGGUGGAGCAUGUGGUUUAAUUUGAAGCGACGCGAAGAACCUUACCAGGCCUUGACAUCCCGCGAACCCCGCCGAAAGGGGGGGGUGCCCGCAAGGGAGCGCGGAGACAGGUGCUGCAUGGCCGUCGUCAGCUCGUGUCGUGAGAUGUUGGGUUAAGUCCCGCAACGAGCGCAACCCCUAUCCCCAGUUGCCAGCAGUCCGGCUGGGCACUCUGGUGAGACCGCCCGCGAAAGCGGGAGGAAGGCGGGGAUGACGUCUGGUCCGCAUGGCCCUUACGGCCUGGGCGACACACGUGCUACAAUGGCUGCGACAGAGCGCCGCCACCCCGCGAGGGGGAGCCAAUCGCGCAAACGCAGCCCCAGUUCGGAUUGGAGUCUGCAACUCGACUCCAUGAAGCCGGAAUCGCUAGUAAUCGCGGAUCAGCCACGCCGCGGUGAAUACGUUCCCGGGCCUUGUACACACCGCCCGUCAAGCCAUGGAAGUGGGUUCUGCCUGAAGUCGCCGGUAGCCUUGGGCAGGCGCCGAGGGCCGGGCUCAUGACUGGGGCUAAGUCGUAACAAGGUAGCC